UGAAAACAUGUGACCCUCUUUUCUGAUGGCUGUAAGUGAAUAGUGCUACUUAAUGUGCGGGUAAACAGUGAGGAAGGAGAUCCAAGCACUCAGUGGCAAGCAACAAAUCAAGUAACUUUAUCACCUGAUAAGGUGAGAAAAUGAGCCUGACACAGGAAACAGCAACAUUAGGCCAACAGAGACUAACGUUGAUGCCAGUCUAGUGGGCUUACCAGCUAUCCUUAUAUGAAAAGACGGUCUUGUUAUCUUCGAGGGUGACUGCAUUAACUGCCUUGAUAAGGAAAUCAAAUGUGGUGAAGGGGACCAUCUUCUGUUCUUAACAUUUCUUCUGGGGCUGUCUGACUGCAUACAACACAUCAUUGGUUCUUUGACCUUUUCUGAAACUGCACUGACACUCUCACUGAGUUAUCAUUUUAAAUGGUUCAGAGGAUUCUGGCAAAACUUUUGGCACGGACUUCUAGUGACGAUUUCUGGCAGGUUCCUUCUCACAGUGGAAUCCUCAUUUAGGAAAUAUUAAGACAAACUGCCCCAGAGAUUUCAGAAAAAGGAGAGUUGAACUGGGAAGCAUCUUUCCUUCAGCAUGCUGGACCUCAACCCAUUGCAUUCAAACUCUGUUCAAACAGAAAAUAGCUAUCUGGCAGUCAUUAACCUUUGGCUGGUAACCUCCAGCAAUUAGCUGAAAGUGUCUAAUUUUCAUAUAUUGCUUGUUAAAUAAAAAUCAAUCAAUGUUUAAAAUGACCUCCUGAAAAAAAAACAGCAUUGGUAUUCACAGAACUUGAAACAAAUCCAUUUAACUACAGCCGUUCAAGAUUCAACUCUUCAACGCAAUCAUUAUAUAAGAAGCCUUCAUAAGACCAUAUAAGGUGUAAAUGGCAAGCUAGCAGAUAUAUGACUGCAAAGUAAUUGUAUCAGGAAAGAAAUGAGAAAAGAAAGUAGA